rnacentral:rRNA from 1 species
AUGGCACAGGUUGGAUCUGAGAUCAAAGAGAGCUCCGGCAAUGACCCAGCUGAAGCUCUCGUGGCCACAUUUCCCACAAGGGAAGGAUGGUCGACGCCGCUCACCCUCUACAACAACUGCUGGCUGAGAUCACACAUGCUGAGGAAAUUCAUGCUCGUGAGAGACAACUUCAAGCCCCGGCGCGACGACAUCAUCCUCGCCACCCACCCCAAGAGCGGCACCACCUGGCUCAAGGCCCUCGCCUUCACCAUCUGCAGCCGCUCCCGCUGCGACUUCACCGACAGCCCUCUGCUCACAACCAACCAACCCACAACGGGUCGUGCCCUUCAUCGGAGCCGUGGGUGGAGACCUCGACUUCCUCGAGACGCUCCCUUCGCCGAGGCUGCUCGCCACCCACCUGCCUCUCUCGCUCCUCCCGCCCGCCGUCUCUACCGUCGGCUGCAGGGUCGUGUACCUCUGCCGCGAGCCCAAAGACGCCUUCGUGUCAAGGUGGCACUUCGACAACAAGAUGGGCAAAGGGGCUCCUAUCACCCUCGACGAUGCAUUCAGCAUGUUUUGCGAAGGGUUCUCCCCAUUCGGGCCCUUCUGGGACCAUUAUCUCCGGUACUGGAAAGAAAGCUUGGCGAGGCCGCAAGAGGUAAUGUUUCUCAAGUAUGA